rnacentral:lncRNA from 1 species
UUUUUAUAAUUAUUAUCAUUAUAAUUAUUAGGUCUUUUUGUAUAAAAAAUUCACUUAUUUUGGAUUUUUAAAAAAUCGGGUCAUCUUUUUUAUUUUUGCAGAUUCGGUCCGCUUUUUCAGCAAACUGACCAAAAUAUCCUUAUUACUUUUUCUCUUUCCUCUUUCUCUCUCCUCUUCGUUUCUGUCGUUCUUUUUUUUUUUUUUCUCGCCGAAAAAAAAAGGCGGACCGUCGCCUUCUUCUUCACCGUCGCCUCCCUCCUCACCAUCCUUCUUCACCGUCGCCCCCCUCCUCACCCUCCUCCUCACCCUCCUCUCCACCGCUCGCGGACCGUCGCCUUCUUAUUGUUGCACUGUUUCUUCUCUUUAAAGAGGAGAAACAGUGCAACAAGAGGAGAAACAGUAUAAAUAUUUCUUAAAUAGGUGCAGUUUAAGAUAAAAAAUAGUGUAAUAAGAGGAGAAAUGAUGCAACAAGAGGAGAAACUGUGCAACAAGAGGAGAAACAGUGCAACUUUCAUUUAAAGAGUGUAAUUUUUAUCUUAGUGGGUGCAGUUUAUAUCUGAAAGAGUGCAAUAAGAAGAGAAACAGUAUAAAUAUCUUUCAAAGAGUGUAAUUUUUAUUUAAAAAGUGUAAUUUUUAUUUUAAAGCUGCAGUUUACAUCUUAAGUAGUGCAACUUGUAAUUUUUUUGUAGUUAACGAUACAAUUUCAUCUUCAUCCUUUUUUUUAUAUAAUUCUUUAUCUUUAUUUUUUUUCUGUU